AAUAGAUACCCGGGUAGUCCACGCCGUAAACGAUGAGUGCUAAGUGUUAGGGGGUUUCCGCCCCUUAGUGCUGCAGCUAACGCAUUAAGCACUCCGCCUGGGGAGUACGGUCGCAAGACUGAAACUCAAAGGAAUUGACGGGGGGCCCGCACAAGCGGUGGAGCAUGUGGUUUAAUUCGAAGCAACGCGAAGAACCUUACCAGGUCUUGACAUCCCAUUGACCGCUAUGGAGACAUAGCUUUCCCUUCGGGGACAGUGGUGACAGGUGGUGCAUGGUUGUCGUCAGCUCGUGUCGUGAGAUGUUGGGUUAAGUCCCGCAACGAGCGCAACCCUUGUUCUUAGUUGCCAUCAUUUAGUUGGGCACUCUAAGGAGACUGCCGGUGACAAACCGGAGGAAGGUGGGGAUGACGUCAAAUCAUCAUGCCCCUUAUGACCUGGGCUACACACGUGCUACAAUGGACGGUACAAACGGUUGCCAACCCGCGAGGGGAGCUAAUCCGAUAAAACCGUUCUCAGUUCGGAUUGUAGGCUGCAACUCGCCUAC
rnacentral:rRNA from 1 species